rnacentral:rRNA from 1 species
GACAUAGGUGGCGAACGUUAUCCGGAAUUACCGGGCGUAAAGCGUGCGCAGGCGGUUCGUUAAGUUCGUUGUGAAAGCCCCGGGCUCAACCUGGGAACUGCAAUGGAAACUGGCGGGCUUGAAUGCGGCAGAGGGGGGUGGAAUUCCACGUGUAGCAGUGAAAUGCGUAGAUAUGUGGAGGAACACCGAUGGCGAAGGCAGCCCCCUGGGCUAACACUGACGCUCAUGCACGAAAGCGUGGGGAGCAAACAGG